rnacentral:rRNA from 1 species
AUUGAACGCUGGCGGAAUGCUUUACACAUGCAAGUCGAACGGUAGAGGGGCAACCCUUGAGAGUGGCGAACGGGUGAGUAAUGUACCGGAACAUGCCCAGUCGUGGGGGAUAACGUAGCGAAAGUUACGCUAAUACCGCAUACGAUCUAUGGAGGAAAGCGGGGGAUCGCAAGACCUCGCGCGAUUGGAGUGGCCGAUAUCAGAUUAGGUAGUUGGUGGGGUAAAGGCCUACCAAGCCGACGAUCUGUAGCUGGUCUGAGAGGACGACCAGCCACACUGGGACUGAGACACGGCCCAGACUCCUACGGGAGGCAGCAGUGGGGAAUUUUGGACAAUGGGCGCAAGCCUGAUCCAGCCAUUCCGCGUGCAGGAAGAAGGCCUUCGGGUUGUAAACUGCUUUUGUACGGAACGAAACGCGCUGAGCUAAUACCUCGGCGUAAUGACGGUACCGUAAGAAUAAGCACCGGCUAACUACGUGCCAGCCGCCGCAGUAA